rnacentral:rRNA from 1 species
AUACGUAGGUGGCAAGCGUUAUCCGGAUUUACUGGGUGUAAAGGGCGUGUAGGCGGGACUGCAAGUCAGAUGUGAAAACUAUGGGCUCAACUCAUGGCCUGCAUUUGAAACUGUGGUUCUUGAGUGUUGGAGAGGCAGGCGGGAUUCCGUGUGUAGCGGUGAAAUGCGUAGAUAUACGGAGGAACACCAGUGGCGAAGGCGGCCUGCUGGACAAUAACUGACGCUGAGGCGCGAAAGCGUGGGGAGCAAACAGGAUUAGAUACCCUGGUAGUCCACGCUGUAAACGAUGGAUACUAGGUGUGGGGGGACUGACCCCCUCCGUGCCGCAGUUAACACAAUAAGUAUCCCACCUGGGGAGUACGAUCGCAAGGUUGA